AAACCUCUUUUCUCAAGGAAUAAGAUCUGAAGGUACUUGAGGAAUAAGCAUCGGCUAACUCCGUGCCAGCAGCCGCGGUAAUACGGAGGAUGCAAGCGUUAUCCGGAAUGAUUGGGCGUAAAGGGUCCGCAGGUGGCAUUGAAAGUCUGCUGUUAAAGAGUGAGGCUCAACCUCAUAAAAGCAGUGGAAACUACAAAGCUAGAGUGCGUUCGGGGUAGCAGGAAUUCCUGGUGUAGCGGUGAAAUGCGUAGAGAUCAGGAAGAACACCGGUGGCGAAAGCGUGCUACUAGGCCGUAACUGACA
rnacentral:rRNA from 1 species